UGUUAUAUUUCUGGUGUUAUGACAAAUAAACACUGUUGCAGUGAUAGAUGUUAAACUCUCAACACUUUUGGUGUAGAUAUGAUACAAAAGCCAGUGUUAAUUUGCGGCGUUCCGAUUAAUAAACACCAAUUGGGUGUAACAAGUUCCAUCCGGGAUAUUUUGCAAAUUGCUCAAACUUCCAGCGCAGUCCGCCAUUUCUCAAACCCCCCUGCAGGAUAGCAGACUUCUCUUCAAGCUGUGGACAAUUCUGUGUGAUAUAACAUUAAGUGGAUGCGAUGAUUGUCAGGAUAUGUGAGCCGCUUGGAUAAUGUUCAUCAUGGGUCUGGGCAAAGUUCUCCAUAAAUGAAGACAAAACCUUGACAGUGACUGAGGAACGGAAGUGGAUGCUGAUGUGUUUCCAGAUCUGGUUACCAAGGACAUGUGCUUAGUCAUCCAUGAUUCUGAUAAAGGUUCUUCAAGACUUCAGCCUUCUCGUUGGAUCUAAAACAUCUGCAAGACAUCUGGAAAGAUGGCCCUCAUACAAACC